AACGCACCUUGCGCUCCUUGGUAUUCCGAGGAGCAUGCCUGUUUGAGUGUCAUUAAUAUAUCAACCUCCUCACCUUGUUGAGUGUUGGAUGUGGGGGUUCUUUCUUUGCUGGCUUCACCGUCAGCUCCCCUGAAAUGCAUUAGCAGAACAACGUGUUCACUUGUUCAUUGGCGUGAUAACUAUCUACGCUUGGUGACAGUGAAGCAAGUUCAGCUUCUAACAGUCCAUUAAAUUGGACAAAUUUUUAUUAAUGUGACCUCAAAUCAGGUAGGAUUACCUGCUGAACUUAA
rnacentral:misc_RNA from 1 species